UGCCACGCUAUAUAGAUGUAGUGCUCUUCGGAACGAUGCUUCUUGGCAUUGCGCUAUCCAGAUCUUCUUUAGAGUGGUUGCCAGACCUUGAUCCAGCCAAUAUUCAAACGUUCAUGAAUACGACUGACCCAAUUUGGACGUACAACACCACUUUUAUGUCCAAUAAUUUUACGUGCAAAGUGGAUCAAAUGGUGAACAUAACAGAGGAAGCAAUUAACUUCAAUAGGAGCAUGUAUUACAGAGGAAACAAGACAGGAUAUCCGGUGGAAGGACUUUUUUCUCUGAGCAAUACGACUUACCCUUAUGCGAUCUUAAUUGGUCCACCAGGUAAGCACUUUCUCUCCCACCG